ensembl:lncRNA
CUUCUUUUUGACAAGGAUUCGUGCUCCCUCAACAAUCCCUCGGUCACUACAGGAUUCGUGGACCUUGCCAACUUGUCCCGGGCAAUCGAGAGGCACGGAACAACCCGAGUUGCCCCAAGAGGACUUGGCAGCAAAUGAAGAUGAAGUACAAAAAUAUAGUUCAAACAGCAGAGCCCCGGCAGACUGGAGGGGGUCCACCUCUGCAGCCCUCACAGAGGCUGAGGAGAUGGCCCUCAGCCAACAGAGUAUGGGUCCUGUGGCUGAGGGCAUCCCUGGGGGGAGCUCCUCUGAUCCCCCCCACCCCCCAGGAUAGAAGUGCCUUUAUAAGAGUUACUGAUGGCGUCAUCGCCCUACUUUAACCAGAUGCCCUCACCAACCUCCAUGCAAUUGAAGAUGAUGGAGAAACAUUGUCUGCGGCAUUCGAAAGGGAAGAGGAAAGGCCUAUUGAGCUUCCAGUCAAAGACUUAUAUAAAAUCUAUCUAGAAAAGCAAAUACACAAAACAGACUUGGAAAUGGACCACCUUAGGCAAAAGGAUGCUUUGGAGAUCCAAAUAUUGGAACAUAAGUUAAAGGUGGGUGAGGUGCAAACUGGGAUACUGUUCCCUGCUCUAAAAACAUACCCAAUAUGAAUGACUUUUUUUGUGCUUUCAGGAAAUAAAGAAAUCCUCAUAAAAAGUAGAUUUUCUUUAUUAGAACACGGGCUGUGGUGGGACAAGUUAUUUUGUUGAACAGUUUACUCAAAGGGUUUUACUCCAGUGAACAAUGCAGACGAUUAUGCUGAGCAUGUGCAUGUAGAGAAGAAGCAUCUGGUUAAAAGCAGUAGCCUACCAGGGUAUUUUCUGCCUUGCAUUCUUAAUAUGCGUUUCUUGACUUGCAGCAGUUAUAGGUCUGUGGUUAGUCAGCUACUCUGAUCAUGGGAAAGCCACAACGUUAAAGUGACUGUAGUACAGAGCGGGUGGGUUGCACGGGGCGGAUCAUUCUGCAAAUGCGUUAAUUGCGUUAAAAAAAAAACGUAAACUUAAAGCAUGCCCCCGGUGCGUUUGAGAGUUAACAUGGGGGCUGAGAAGGUGG